CCCUGAUGUUAGCGGCGGACGGGUGAGUAACACGUGGGUAACCUGCCUGUAAGACUGGGAUAACUCCGGGAAACCGGGGCUAAUACCGGAUGCUUGUUUGAACCGCAUGGUUCAAACAUAAAAGGUGGCUUCGGCUACCACUUACAGAUGGACCCGCGGCGCAUUAGCUGGUUGGUGAGGUAACGGCUCACCAAGGCAACGAUGCGUAGCCGACCUGAGAGGGUGAUCGGCCACACUGGGACUGAGACACGGCCCAGACUCCUACGGGAGGCAGCAGUAGGGAAUCUUCCGCAAUGGACGAAAGUCUGACGGAGCAACGCCGCGUGAGUGAUGAAGGUUUUCGGAUCGUAAAGCUCUGUUGUUAGGGAAGAACAAGUACCGUUCGAAUAGGGCGGUACCUUGACGGUACCUAACCAGAAAGCCACGGCUAACUACGUGCCAGCAGCCGCGGUAAUACGUAGGUGGCAAGCGUUGUCCGGAAUUAUUGGGCGUAAAGGGCUCGCAGGCGGUUUCUUAAGUCUGAUGUGAAAGCCCCCGGCUCAACCGGGGAGGGUCAUUGGAAACUGGGGAACUUGAGUGCAGAAGAGGAGAGUGGAAUUCCACGUGUAGCGGUGAAAUGCGUAGAGAUGUGGAGGAACACCAGUGGCGAAGGCGACUCUCUGGUCUGUAACUGACGCUGAGGAGCGAAAGCGUGGGGAGCGAACAGGAUUAGAUACCCUGGUAGUCCACGCCGUAAACGAUGAGUGCUAAGUGUUAGGGGUUUCCGCCCCUUAGUGCUGCAGCUAACGCAUUAAGCACUCCGCCUGGGGAGUACGGUCGCAAGACUGAAACUCAAAGGAAUUGACGGGGC
rnacentral:rRNA from 1 species